UGGUAGAUGCACCCUGAUUAAUAUCCCCAGCUCUUAACAGGGCUGGGGGUUUCCUUA
rnacentral:sRNA from 1 species